UACGGGGGGAGCAAGCGUUGUUCGGAUUUACUGGGCGUAAAGGGCGCGUAGGCGGCCACCGCAAGUCAGUUGUGAAAUCUCUGGGCUUAACCCAGAAAGGUCAACUGAUACUGCGGGGCUAGAGUGCAGAAGGGGCAGCUGGAAUUCUCGGUGUAGCGGUGAAAUGCGUAGAUAUCAGGAAGAACACCUAUGGCGAAGGCAGCUCUCUGGGACGGUACUGACGCUGAGACGCGAAAGCGUGGGGAGCGAACCGG
rnacentral:rRNA from 1 species